UACGUAGGGGGCUAGCGUUGUCCGGAAUCAUUGGGCGUAAAGCGCGUGUAGGCGGUUCGGUAAGUCCGCUGUGAAAGUCGGGGGCUCAACCCUCGGAUGCCGGUGGAUACUGUCGGACUAGAGUACGGAAGAGGCGAGUGGAAUUCCUGGUGUAGCGGUGAAAUGCGCAGACAUCAGGAGGAACACCAAUGGCGAAGGCAGCUCGCUGGGACGGUACUGACGCUGAGGCGCGAAAGCGUGGGGAGCAAACAGG
rnacentral:rRNA from 1 species